rnacentral:lncRNA from 1 species
CGCUUCUCCCCGUAGAGGUCGAUCCAGAAGGCUACACGUACAUAUAGAAACAAAAAUACUAAAUUAAUAACCAAGUAAUAAGUCUAAAACCUAAUGUAAGAGAUGCAUUAUUUAUAUAUGUUUACAUUUACAUACCUCGCCAGUAUUUUCUUCUUGUUGCACGACAAGUUGUUGCUCAGGGGCAUUGCCCUCUUGUUGCUCAGGGGCAUUGCCCUCUUGUUGCUCAGUACGAUUGCCUUGCAUGAUGUCGUGGUAAUCAACGAAGUACUGACUACCGUCGUCGAUUAUAUUUUGAAUGGCAGCUUCCAUAUAAUCAGGAUCAUCAUGAGGACGGUCAGCCAUUUCUAUGUCUGCAACCAUACAUAUAUAUAUAUUCUAUAUAAGAUAAGAAAUACACUAAUACUACUACAAAUGAAAGUGUUGGAGUGCUCUAAAAAUAAUACUAGAAUCUUUUAAGCCAAGUAAUACAUUAGAAUAAAAAACAAUACUAGAAUAAUACAUACAUACAAAAAAUAUUACAUAUAUAUGUGUGUGUAUAUGUAAAAAAAAUAAAACAUACAUACAUACUAUAUAUAAAACAUACAUACAUACUAUAUAUAUACUAGAAUAAUAUAUUAAAAAAAUAAUACAUACAUACAUACAUACAUACAUACAUACAUACAUACAUACAUACAUACAUACAUACAUACAUACAUACAUACAUACAUACAUACAUACAUACAUACAUACAUACAUACAUACAUACAUACAUACAUACAUACAUACAUACAAACUAUAUAUAUGUGUGUGUAUAUUUACAAAAAAUAAUAUACAUACAUACAAAAAAUAUUACAUAUAUACAAAAAAGUAAAACAUACAUACAAAAAAAUUACAUAUAUAUAAAAAAAAUAUAUACAAAAAAUUACAUAUAUACAUACUAUAUAUACUAGAAAUAUAUACAAAAAAUUACAUAUAUAUACAAAAAAAUAUAUACAUACUAUAUAUAAUAUACAUACUAUAUAUAAUACUACAAAUCAAAACACCAUAUAUAUAAUAUACAUAUACACAAAAAAAAUUACAUAUAUAUACAUAAAAAUAUAU